rnacentral:rRNA from 1 species
UGGGGAAUAUUGCACAAUGGGGGAAACCCUGAUGCAGCGACGCCGCGUGAAGGAAGAAGUAUUUCGGUAUGUAAACUUCUAUCAGCGGGAAGAAAAUGACGGUACCUGACUAAGAAGCCCCGGCUAACUACGUGCCAGCAGCCGCGGUAAUACGUAGGGGGCAAGCGUUAUCCGGAUUUACUGGGUGUAAAGGGAGCGUAGACGGCAUGGCAAGUCUGAAGUGAAAGCCCGGGGCUCAACCCCGGGACUGCUUUGGAAACUGUCAGGCUAGAGUGCUGGAGAGGUAAGUGGAAUUCCUAGUGUAGCGGUGAAAUGCUUAGAUAUUGCGCAGAACUCCGAUUGCGAAGGCAGCGUACUGGCGCCUGACUGACGCUGAGGCACGAAAGCGUGGGGAUCGAACAGGAUUAGAUACCC